rnacentral:rRNA from 1 species
GACGAACGCUGGCGGCGUGCCUAAUACAUGCAAGUCGAGCGGAACUGGGGGAGCUUGCUCCUUCCAGUUUAGCGGCGGACGGGUGAGUAACACGUGGGCAACCUGCCCUGCAGAUCGGGAUAACUCCGGGAAACCGGUGCUAAUACCGAAUAGUUUGGCGCCUCUCCUGAGGCGCUACGGAAAGACGGUUGCGGCUGUCACUGCAGGAUGGGCCCGCGGCGCAUUAGCUAGUUGGUGGGGUAACGGCCCACCAAGGCGACGAUGCGUAGCCGACAUGAGAGGGUGAACGGACACACUGGGACUGAGACACGGCCCAGACUCCUACGGGAGGCAGCAGUAGGGAAUCUUCCGAAAUGGACGCAAGUCUGACGUAGCAACGCCGCGGGAGUGACGAAGGUUUUCGGAUCGUAAAACUCUGUUGUGAGGGAAGAACACGUACCAACUAACUAUUGGUACCUUGACGGUACCUCACCAGAAAGCCACGGCUAACUACGUGCCAGCAGCCGCAGUAA